rnacentral:tRNA from 1 species
GGGUUAGUAGCUCAAUUGGUAGAGCAGCGGACUCUUAAUCCGGAGGUUCGGGGUUCGAGUCCCCGCUGACCCAC